AUUGAACGCUGGCGGCAUGCUUUACACAUGCAAGUCGAACGGCAGCGCGGGCUUCGGCCUGGCGGCGAGUGGCGAACGGGUGAGUAAUGCAUCGGAACGUGCCCAGUAGUGGGGGAUAGCCCGGCGAAAGCCGGAUUAAUACCGCAUACGACCUGAGGGUGAAAGCGGGGGACCGAAAGGCCUCGCGCUAUUGGAGCGGCCGAUGUCGGAUUAGCUAGUUGGUGGGGUAAAGGCUUACCAAGGCGACGAUCCGUAGCUGGUCUGAGAGGACGACCAGCCACACUGGGACUGAGACACGGCCCAGACUCCUACGGGAGGCAGCAGUGGGGAAUUUUGGACAAUGGGGGAAACCCUGAUCCAGCCACGCCGCGUGCGGGAAGAAGGGCUUCGGGUUGUAAACCGCUGUUGUUCGGGAAGAAAUCAUGUGGGCUAAUACCCCGGGAGGAUGACGGUACCGGAAGAAUAAGCACCGGCUAACUACGUG
rnacentral:rRNA from 1 species